ensembl:lincRNA
CAGCAGAGAAGCAUGCUGGGACAGCCAUUCAUUCUGCCACCCAGGAUGUGAGGGAGCUUCUAAGAGGUAUUGAUAAAGGAACAGGGCCUUCCAUUGCUCUUUUCUAGGUGGGCAGCCUACGGGAAAGGGGAUUUACAACAGCGGAAAGGAGCAGUAAAAGUGCUGUGGUUAACGCGAACCACAUGCUCCCAGAACAGCCUGUGAAUCGACUAAAAAUGGAAAGAACACGAGUAUCGAAUUGUUGGGAAGUGAAUACAAAUUAGAUGACAACUGUUCAUGUCCCUCCAUUUCCUCUCACAUCCAAGGAGGGCAGUAUUCUUGACCUCUACUUCCCAGAAACGUCCACAGGAUACCAUCACUGAGCUGGAAUACAACAUGGGGCAUCUGAAAAGAAGAACCAAAAUAGAUGCCUGGUCUUCAACUAAAUUACCUGUUCAUCUUUUUCCAGGAAACCUUGGAACACCAAGGAAUCAGCAGUCAAACGAGCUCAGUCUCUCAGAACACAUGUGGGGGAAUUGAGUAUUUCAACUUUUAGGUAGACAGUUUCUACAAGCUAAAUAGUGGAACAAAAGGAGCCAAAUAAAGAAGUUAUAAAACACGUGCAUAUUUAGCCCCUACUUUUUAUUAAACUAAGACUUUUUAUUCAC